rnacentral:rRNA from 1 species
AACGAACGCUGGCGGCAUGCCUGACACAUGCAAGUCGAACGAGACCUUCGGGUCUAGUGGCGCACGGGUGCGUAACGCGUGGGAACCUGCCCUUAGGUUCGGAAUAACUCCCCGAAAGGGGUGCUAAUACCGGGUAAUGUCCUCGGACCAAAGAUUUAUCGCCUUUGGAUGGGCCCGCGUUGGAUUAGCUAGUUGGUAGGGUAAAAGCCUACCAAGGCGACGAUCCAUAGCUGGUCUGAGGGGAUGAUCAGCCACACUGGGACUGAGACACGGCCCAGACUCCUACGGGAGGCAGCAGUGGGGAAUAUUGGACAAUGGGCGAAAGCCUGAUCCAGCAAUGCCGCGUGAGUGAUGAAGGCCUGAGGGUUGUAAAGCUCUUUUACCCGGGAUGAUAAUGACAGUACCGGGAGAAUAAGCUCCGGCUAACUCCGUG